rnacentral:lncRNA from 1 species
GAGAAUCCUUCUUUAAAGGAUUCUUUUUUGAUAAUGGCCACCCUAAAGAGCCAGAAGAAGAGGCUUUUUCAGAGUCACUUUCUUUCAAUCUUCCAAGUUUUUGGCAUUGUGAAACUUGUCUUUGCAUGCGCAGAGAUUAAAAAUUGAUUUUAUUGAUGGAUCUCCUUUGUGGGGUUGAGAGUAAAGGGAUGGCCGUAGAACUCCUUAUCUCUUGGCUUUGAUUAAUUUGUAAGACAAUGCACUUUUACUUUUCUCUAUGUUGCUAAGGCAGUCUCAGC